CCAUGAAGAUGAGUUCUCCAGGCUUCCGCCGUUUAGCGUUGAGAGCUGUGUAGUUAUGUAGACGCCUAAACAGUUGUGGUCAGUGCAACAUCGGGAAAUACUUGUGGGGGAGUUUAAGUUGCUGGGUCUGGAGUAUGCUGGAUACUCUCCAAGGCAGAACUAUGCUAGCUAUUCCUUCUAAUAAUAAGUAGAAAAUAAACAUUUCAUGGUGAUGGUCUCUUCGUAUGGCUGGGAAGAACUCAAUCGUUUCCAAUUUCGUCGCUUAUAUGUCUUUUCUGUUAUUGCAUACAUAUUAUUUAUGAACAGAUUCAAGAGUUUGUUGCUCAGAAAACUAUUGAGCUACCCUGUAGCUACGGAGUACAAUAUAUAGGAAUGUUUGCAAAUUUAUUGUCGCAUUACACUAUGGAGUAGCUGAUUAGUUUAUUUGUCUGGAAUUAAUUUUGGAGUGGAAGACUCUUUUUUU